rnacentral:rRNA from 1 species
GACAGAGGUGCCAAGCGUUAGGCGGAAUCACUGGGCUUAAAGCGUGUGUAGGCGGCUUUGUAAGUUAGAGGUGAAAGCCCGGGGCUCAACCCCGGAAUUGCCUUUAAGACUGCAUCGCUUGAAUCCAGGAGAGGUGAGUGGAAUUCCGAGUGUAGAGGUGAAAUUCGUAGAUAUUCGGAAGAACACCAGUGGCGAAGGCGGCUCACUGGACUGGUAUUGACGCUGAGGUGCGAAAGCGUGGGGAGCAAACAGG